rnacentral:rRNA from 1 species
AUUGAACGCUGGCGGCAUGCCUUACACAUGCCAGUCGAACGGUAACAGGUCUUCGGACGCUGACGAGUGGCGAACGGGUGAGUAAUGCAUCGGAACGUGCCCAGUCGUGGGGGAUAACUGCUCGAAAGAGCAGCUAAUACCGCAUACGACCUGAGGGUGAAAGCGGGGGACCGUAAGGCCUCGCGCGAUUGGAGCGGCCGAUGUCAGAUUAGCUAGUUGGUGGGGUAAAGGCCUACCAAGGCAACGAUCUGUAGUUGGUCUGAGAGGACGACCAGCCACACUGGGACUGAGACACGGCCCAGACUCCUACGGGAGGCAGCAGUGGGGAAUUUUGGACAAUGGGCGCAAGCCUGAUCCAGCAAUGCCGCGUGCAGGAAGAAGGCCUUCGGGUUGUAAACUGCUUUUGUCAGGGAAGAAAUCGUCUGGGCUAAUACCCCGGGAGGAUGACGGUACCUGAAGAAUAAGCACCGGCUAACUACGUG